CGGUAGGGUGCAAGCGUUUAAUCGGAAUUACUGGGCGUAAAGCGUGCGCAGGCGGUUUGGUAAGACAGAUGUAGAAACGUCCCCGGGCUUAACCUGGGAAUUGCAUUUGUGACUGCCCGGCUAGUAGUUUGGCAGAGGGGGGUAGAAUUCCACGUGUAGCAGUGAAAUGCGUAGAUAUGUGGAGGAAUACCGAUGGCGAAGGCAGCCCCCUGGGUCAAGACUGACGCUCAUGCACGAAAGCGUGGGGAGCAAACAGGAUUAGAUACCCUGGUAGUCCACGCCCUAAACGAUGUCUACUAGUUGUCGGGUCUUAAUUGACUUGGUAACGCAGCUAACGCGUGAAGUAGACCGCCUGGGGAGUACGGUCGCAAGAUUA
rnacentral:rRNA from 1 species